CAAAACUUUGAACUUUCUUUAAAAAUAAAUCUUAGCUGACAGAUUUUGAGAUCAGAUGUUUUAGCAUCACCGGCAGGACUAACAGUAAAAUAAGGGAAGAGUUUCUC